rnacentral:rRNA from 1 species
GGGUUGUGAGGUUAAGCGACUAAGCGUACACGGUGGAUGCCCUGGCAGUCAGAGGCGAUGAAGGGCGUGCUAAUCUGCGAUAAGCGCCGGUAAGGUGAUAUGAACCGUUAUAACCGGCGAUACCCGAAUGGGGAAACCCAGUGUGACUCGUCACACUAUCAUUAACUGAAUCCAUAGGUUAAUGAGGCGAACCGGGGGAACUGAAACAUCUAAGUACCCCGAGGAAAAGAAA